rnacentral:rRNA from 1 species
AAUAUUGCACAAUGGGCGCAAGCCUGAUGCAGCCAUGCCGCGUGUAUGAAGAAGGCCUUCGGGUUGUAAAGUACUUUCAGCAGUGAGGAAGGUGGAUAUGUUAAUAGCAUAUUCAUUUGACGUUAGCUGCAGAAGAAGCACCGGCUAACUCCGUGCCAGCAGCCGCGGUAAUACGGAGGGUGCGAGCGUUAAUCGGAAUUACUGGGCGUAAAAGCGCAUGCAGGUGGUUUGUUAAGUCAGAUGUGAAAGCCCGGGGCUCAACCUCGGAAUUGCAUUUGAAACUGGCAAACUAGAGUACUGUAGAGGGGGUAGAAUUUCAGGUGUAGCGGUGAAAAUGCGUAGAGAUCUGAAGGAAUACCGGUGGCGAAGGCGGCCCCCUGGACAGAUACUGACACUCAGAUGCGAAAGCGUGGGGAGCAAACAGGAUUAGAUACCCUGGUAG